AUGCCAAUGGCUGAAGAUGGAGAUCAUGUUAUUCUUUCCGAUGAUGAAGAUGGACAGGAGGAGGAGGUGAAAGAGGUCAAUGAAGCAGGCAAACAGAAGCUAACUUCUAAAGUUUGGUUGGAAAUGAAAAAGAUUAGGAUCAAUGGGCAAUGGAAGGCAAGGUGUAACUAUUGUCACAAGGAACUUACUUCAGGACCCAGAGCAGGCACGAAGCAUCUUGCUGAACAUCUAAAGAUUUGCACUCUCAAGAUGUUGAAGACGAAGGGAGGGAAAACAUUGUGUCAGCCAUCAUUGAUGAUGGAUGCUAAGGAGGAUGGUAACAUUUCUUUAGAGACCUAUACUUUUGAUCAAGAGGUUGCUAGAAGAGGGUUUGGUAACAUGUUGGUGUUGCAUGAGUAUCCACUGUCUAUAGUGGACCAUGCUGGUUUUAGGAAAAUUUGUUCGUGCACUUCAGCCAGUAUUCAAGCUACAUACCAGAAAUACUAUUAG
rnacentral:rRNA from 1 species